GACGAACGCUGGCGGCGUGCUUAACACAUGCAAGUCGUACGGUAAGGCCCUUUCGGGGGUACACGAGUGGCGAACGGGUGAGUAACACGUGAGUAACCUGCCCACAACUUUGGGAUAACGCUAGGAAACUGGUGCUAAUACUGGAUAUGUGCCCCUGCUGCAUGGUGGGGGUUGGAAAGCUCCGGCGGUUGUGGAUGGACUCGCGGCCUAUCAGCUUGUUGGUGGGGUAGUGGCCUACCAAGGCGGCGACGGGUAGCCGGCCUGAGAGGGUGACCGGCCACAUUGGGACUGAGAUACGGCCCAGACUCCUACGGGAGGCAGCAGUGGGGAAUAUUGCACAAUGGGCGCAAGCCUGAUGCAGCAACGCCGCGUGCGGGAUGACGGCCUUCGGGUUGUAAACCGCUUUCAGCAGGGACGAAGCUUUUUAUGACGGUACCUGCAGAAGAAGCACCGGCUAACUACGUG
rnacentral:rRNA from 1 species